rnacentral:rRNA from 1 species
AGCGAACGCUGGCGGCGUGCCUAACACAUGCAAGUCGAGCGCGGGCAUUUCGGGGGUAACCCGGGACGUGUGCUGAGCGGCGGACGAGUGAGUAAUACGUGGACAACCUGCCUUAAAGACUUGGGAGUAAACUCCGGGGAAACGUAGGAGCUAAUACCGGAUAAGACCACGGUGUCUAUGGAUGCUGAGGUAAAAGGACGGCCAGGAAACUGGCUGUUGCUUAAAGAUGGGUCCACGUCCCAUCAGGUAGUUGGUGAGGUAAAGGCUCACCAAGCC